AUUGAACGCUGGCGGCAGGCCUAACACAUGCAAGUCGAGCGAGCGGCGGACGGGUGAGGAAUGUCUGGGAAACUGCCUGAUGGAGGGGGAUAACUACUGGAAACGGUAGCUAAUACCGCAUCCCAUCGGCUGUGCCCAGAUGGGAUUAGCUUGUUGGUGGGGUAACGGCUCACCAAGGCGACGAUCCCUAGCUGGUCUGAGAGGAUGACCAGCCACACUGGAACUGAGACACGGUCCAGACUCCUACGGGAGGCAGCAGUGGGGAAUAUUGCACAAUGGGCGAAAGCCUGAUGCGGCCAUGCCGCGUGUAUGAAGAAGGCCUUCGGGUUGUAAGGUACUUUCAGCGGGGCGGCGUUACCCGCAGAAGAAGCAACGGCUAACUCCGUGCCAGCAGCCGCGGUAAUAC
rnacentral:rRNA from 1 species